rnacentral:snoRNA from 14 species
GUGCAUCAGAAAGGGACGGGGUUUCCAGUUGGAUUGAUCCGUAUAAUUUUGAUGCGAAAGCAUAGAGAGGUGCAGUGUUACUCUUCAUCACGGAUUUUGUGAACGGAGAGUGUCAAGCGCUUCCCACAAUU